rnacentral:misc_RNA from 1 species
GAAAUGCGAUAAGUAAUGUGAAUUGCAGAAUUCAGUGAAUCAUCGAAUCUUUGAACGCACAUUGCGCCCGCCAGCACCCUGGCGGGCAUGCCUGUUCGAGCGUCAUUUCAACCCUCAGAACCCCUUGCGGGAUCUGGCGUUGGGGAUUGGCAUCCAGCCAGCCCCGAAAUCUAGUGGCGGUCCCUCCGCGACCUCCCCUGUGCAGUAGCGAUACCUCGCAGCGGGACAGCGGUCUGACCACGCCGUAAAACCCCCAACUUCUCAAGGUUGACCUCGAAUCAGGUAGGAAUACCCGCUGAACUUAAGC